CGUGGUUAACACAUGCAAGUCGAACGGAAAGGCCCUGCUUUUGUGGGGCGCUCGAGUGGCGAACGGGUGAGUAACACGUGAGUAACCUGCCCUUGACUUUGGGAUAACUUCAGGAAACUGGGGCUAAUACCGGAUAGGAGCUCCUGCUGCAUGGUGGGGGUUGGAAAGUUUCGGCGGUUGGGGAUGGACUCGCGGCUUAUCAGCUUGUUGGUGGGGUAGUGGCUUACCAAGGCUUUGACGGGUAGCCGGCCUGAGAGGGUGACCGGCCACAUUGGGACUGAGAUACGGCCCAGACUCCUACGGGAGGCAGCAGUGGGGAAUAUUGCACAAUGGGCGGAAGCCUGAUGCAGCAACGCCGCGUGCGGGAUGACGGCCUUCGGGUUGUAAACCGCUUUCGCCUGUGACGAAGCGUGAGUGACGGUAAUGGGUAAAGAAGCACCGGCUAACUACGUGCCAGCAGCCGCGGUGAUACGUAGGGUGCGAGCGUUGUCCGGAUUUAUUGGGCGUAAAGGGCUCGUAGGUGGUUGAUCGCGUCGGAAGUGUAAUCUUGGGGCUUAACCCUGAGCGUGCUUUCGAUACGGGUUGACUUGAGGAAGGUAGGGGAGAAUGGAAUUCCUGGUGGAGCGGUGGAAUGCGCAGAUAUCAGGAGGAACACCAGUGGCGAAGGCGGUUCUCUGGGCCUUUCCUGACGCUGAGGAGCGAAAGCGUGGGGAGCGAACAGGCUUAGAUACCCUGGUAGUCCACGCUGUAAACGGUGGGUACUAGGUGUGGGGUCCAUUCCACGGGUUCCGUGCCGUAGCUAACGCUUUAAGUACCCCGCCUGGGGAGUACGGCCGCAAGGCUAAAACUCAAAGGAAUUGACGGGGCCCCGCACAAGCGGCGGAGCAUGCGGAUUAAUUCGAUGCAACGCGUAGAACCUUACCUGGGUUUGACAUGGAUCGGGAGUGCUCAGAGAUGGGUGUGCCUCUUUUGGGGUCGGUUCACAGGUGGUGCAUGGCUGUCGUCAGCUCGUGUCGUGAGAUGUUGGGUUAAGUCCCGCAACGAGCGCAACCCUUGUUCACUGUUGCCAGCACGUUAUGGUGGGGACUCAGUGGAGACCGCCGGGGUCAACUCGGAGGAAGGUGGGGAUGACGUCAAGUCAUCAUGCCCCUUAUGUCCAGGGCUUCACGCAUGCUACAAUGGCUGGUACAGAGAGUGGCGAGCCUGUGAGGGUGAGCGAAUCUCGGAAAGCCGGUCUCAGUUCGGAUUGGGGUCUGCAACUCGACCUCAUGAAGUCGGAGUCGCUAGUAAUCGCAGAUCAGCAACGCUGCGGUGAAUACGUUCCCGGGGCUUGUACACACCGCCCGUCAAGUCAUGAAAGUUGGUAACACCCGAAGCCGGUGGCCUAACCGUUGUGGGGGAGCCGUCGAAGGUGGGACUGGUGAUU
rnacentral:rRNA from 1 species